CAUCAACAAGCAUUUAGUAUACAAGAAGCGAAUAAACAACACAAAUCAAGCAAGUAAAAUGUCCAAAACUGUAGCUAGCAGUAGCUACUGUAACUCAACUCGGAAAUGCUAUUACCGGCUAGCUCAGCUUUGAACCAAAUAAUUUGAAUAGACAGAAAACAACUCUCAAAUACACUUACUGCUAAAUAGAAAUAGAAACAGACUGACUUUUUUUUUUUACAAUCUUAUUUCCUAUAUGUGUUUGACUCUUAAAGACAGUUGAUUUCUUUAGUUAAAUUGAGUAUUUGAUGUGCAAGCUGCUUGCAAACCAUUAAAAACACUUACUGCUGCAUCAAUUUGUGCAGAGAGCUGUAUGGGUGGGAUGAACUGAGGCACAUCAGGAGGGAUGACCGUCACCAUUUGUUGGAGAACAACUUCUGACACAAGGGAUCUCUGCUUCAAGUCCUCUGCAUGACAGUAGGAAAAGGAUUUUUAGAUGGCAUUUGGGACACUUUCUGCAAAAAAAGCUUCUCUAGAGUCUGAGCCAUGAAAACAAUGUCAUCUGCAGGCUGUGGAAAGAAAAUGUAAGCAUUACAAAUAAGUAAAGAAAUACUUUCCAAAGAAACUUCAGCACUGUACUAAAACAUUUAAAAAAAACUGCCACUCUGGGUGAAUGUAAACUACCCAAUUUGCAUUAUACGCAUCACAGAACAGAAAGAGAUUUAAGGGGUCAGUAAGCAAUUUUAUACUUUUUCUUUUCUUGUUGUUGUGAUUUUACUGCUCUGGCCGGGCUGUCCUCGGGUAUAGGAGUCCAACGCACUAACUACUAGGCCAAAACCACAGAGUUGCAGCGCCACCCUCAAGCACCGGUCUUAACGUGUCGACGAGUGAUGUUAUAUGCAUAGUGCACACACAGUGUUGUGUGGUGGGGUCUGCAUCAUUUUUUUGAUUUACAGAGCCCGGACUGCACGGAAAACCUGUAUAUUUGUUGAGGCACACACAAAAGUGACAGCUAACGGACGGUGAGUAAAUACUCGCUGAUGUUUACAUAACAUGUAUUGUUUCGAAUCGCUUACUGCCUCUUUAAAUGAACACUAUGCCAGUUUACAGACCUACUUCUGCAUUAAAACAGUUCCUCACGGGUAAUUUUCAGUAUGUCUUUUAUUUUUGAAAUGCACUCUUAAGUUAUACAUGUUGGGUAAUUUUCUGUCCUGCUUGUUGUUGACGUGUUUAAGAGGGAAUGUUCAAUCUUUAGCAAGGUCGCCUUAUUGAGCCAGAAGCACAUGUUGCUAGGUUAGGCUGCCCUUUGGUGUACAUUGUAUUCAGCAAAGGCCAUGAGACAGAGAGUUUCUAUAGACAGGAGCCACAGCGAGAUUUUUACGUAGAUGCCAAUGCACUGACCACUCUGUGAUCUGUGUAACAAGCCAGAAAUCUCCUCAAUAUUGAACUCCUGUAAUAAACACUUAUGAGAAAAACAUC